AGUAUAAUUGCUGGAUCACAUUGUAAUUCCACUUCUAAUAUUUUGAGGAACCUCCAUACUGUUUUCCAAAAUAGCUGCACUAAUUUACAUUCCCACCAACAAU
rnacentral:pre_miRNA from 1 species